CGCGGCCUAUCAGCUUGUUGGUGGGGUAAUGGCCUACCAAGGCGACGACGGGUAGCCGGCCUGAGAGGGCGACCGGCCACACUGGGACUGAGACACGGCCCAGACUCCUACGGGAGGCAGCAGUGGGGAAUAUUGCACAAUGGGCGAAAGCCUGAUGCAGCGACGCCGCGUGAGGGAUGACGGCCUUCGGGUUGUAAACCUCUUUCAGCAGGGACGAAGCGUAAGUGACGGUACCUGCAGAAGAAGCGCCGGCCAACUACGUGCCAGCAGCCGCGGUAAGACGUAGGGCGCGAGCGUUGUCCGGAUUUAUUGGGCGUAAAGAGCUCGUAGGCGGCUUGUCGCGUCGACUGUGAAAACCCGCAGCUCAACUGCGGGCCUGCAGUCGAUACGGGCAGGCUAGAGUUCGGUAGGGGAGACUGGAAUUCCUGGUGUAGCGGUGGAAUGCGCAGAUAUCAGGAGGAACACCGGUGGCGAAGGCGGGUCUCUGGGCCGAUACUGACGCUGAGGAGCGAAAGCGUGGGGAGCGAACAGGAUUAGAUACCCUGGUAGUCCACGCUGUAAACGUUGGGCGCUAGGUGUGAGGGGACCUCUCCGGUUCUCUGUGCCGCAGCUAACGCAUUAAGCGCCCCGCCUGGGGAGUACGG
rnacentral:rRNA from 1 species